rnacentral:rRNA from 1 species
CAGUAGCCACGGUAAUACGAAGGGGGCUAGCGUUGUUCGGAUUUACUGGGCGUAAAGCGCACGUAGGCGGAUCGAUCAGUCAGGGGUGAAAUCCCAGAGCUCAACUCUGGAACUGCCUUUGAUACUGUCGAUCUGGAGUAUGGAAGAGGUGAGUGGAAUUCCGAGUGUAGAGGUGAAAUUCGUAGAUAUUCGGAGGAACACCAGUGGCGAAGGCGGCUCACUGGUCCAUUACUGACGCUGAGGUGCGAAAGCGUGGGGAGCAAACAGGAUUAGAUACCCCCGUAGUCCCUGUCUCUUAUAC